rnacentral:snRNA from 1 species
AUACUUACCUGGACGGGGUCAAUGGGCGAUCAAAGAGACUCAUAGCCUAGGCUAGUGACCUCCAUUGCACUUUGGAGGGGUGCUAGCCUAAGGUCGGCCCAAGUGGUCGAGCCUACGUCAUAAUUUGUGGUAGUGGGGGCCUGCGUUCGCGCGGCCCCUAU